UAUAUAUAUAUAUAUAUAUAUAUAUAUAUAUAUAUAUAUAUAUCCUAUUUAUUGAUUGUGUCACACUGUGUUUCUGGUACAUUUUUUUUAAAAAGCUGCACAGACUCUGAAAGCAUGCUUUAACAGCUUCUGUAUUGUUGAUCAGCUCCACUCAAGAUAAAUAAAAAAUGUUUAUUGUUUCA